rnacentral:rRNA from 1 species
GACGAACGCUGGCGGCGUGCUUAACACAUGCAAGUCGAACGGAACUCUUUGGAUCAAGACUUCGGUCAAGUGAAUUUGAGUUUAGUGGCGGACGGGUGAGUAACGCGUGAGGAACCUGCCUUUCAGAGGGGGACAACAGUUGGAAACGACUGCUAAUACCGCAUAACGCAUAAAGAUCGCAUGGUCUUUAUGCCAAAGAUUUAUCGCUGAAAGAUGGCCUCGCGUCUGAUUAGCUAGUUGGUGAGGUAACGGCCCACCAAGGCGACGAUCAGUAGCCGGACUGAGAGGUUGACCGGCCACAUUGGGACUGAGAUACGGCCCAGACUCCUACGGGAGGCAGCAGUGGGGAAUAUUGGGCAAUGGGCGCAAGCCUGACCCAGCAACGCCGCGUGAAGGAAGAAGGCUUUCGGGUUGUAAACUUCUUUUGUCAGGGAAGAGUAGAAGACUGUACCUGACGAAUAAGCCACGGCUAACUACGUG